rnacentral:tRNA from 1 species
GCAGAUAUAGUUUAAGUAAAAUACUAGUUUGUGGCACUAGAGCUAGAGGUUAGAGGCCUCUUUUCCGCA